AUUGAACGCUGGCGGCAGGCCUAACACAUGCAAGUCGAGCGGAUGAAGGGAGCUUGCUCCUGGAUUCAGCGGCGGACGGGUGUGUAAUUCCUAGGAAUCUGCCUGUUAGUGGGGGAUUACGUCCGGAAACGGGCGCUAAUACCGCAUACGUCCUGAGGUAGAAAGUGGGGGAUCUUCGGACCUCACGCUAUCAGAUGUGCCUAGGUCGGAUUCGCUAGUUGGUGGGGUAAAUGCCUAACAAGGCGACGAUCCGUAACUGGUCUGAGAGGAUGAUCAGUCACACUGGAACUGAGACAGGGACCAGACUCCUACGGGAGGCAGCAGAGGGGAAUAUUGGACAAUGGGGGAAAGCAUGAUCAAGAGAUGCCGCGGGUGAGAAGAAGGACUUCGGAUUGUAAAGCACUUUAAGUUGGGAGGAAGGGAAGUAAGUUAAAAAAUGGAUGUAUUGACGGUACCAACAGAAUAAGCACCGGCUAACUACGUG
rnacentral:rRNA from 1 species